UGGCUCAGGAUGAACGCUAGCGGCAGGCUUAACACAUGCAAGUCGAGGGGCAUCGGGAGGAAAGCUUGCUUUCCUUGCCGGCGACCGGCGCACGGGUGAGUAACACGUAUGCAACCUGCCCUCUUCAGGGGGACAACCUUCCGAAAGGGAGGCUAAUCCCGCGUAUAUCGGUUUCGGGCAUCCGAGAUCGAGGAAAGAUUCAUCGGAAGAGGAUGGGCAUGCGGCGCAUUAGCUAGACGGCGGGGUAACGGCCCACCGUGGCGACGAUGCGUAGGGGUUCUGAGAGGAAGGUCCCCCACACUGGUACUGAGACACGGACCAGACUCCUACGGGAGGCAGCAGUGAGGAAUAUUGGUCAAUGGGAGAGAUCCUGAACCAGCCAAGCCGCGUGAGGGAAGACGGCCCUAUGGGUUGUAAACCUCUUUUGUCGGAGAACAAAACCCGGGACGUGUCCCGGACUGCGUGUAUCCGAAGAAAAAGCAUCGGCUAACUCCGUGCCAGCAGCCGCGGUAAUACGGAGGAUGCGAGCGUUAUCCGGAUUUAUUGGGUUUAAAGGGUGCGUAGGCGGUCCGUUAAGUCAGCGGUAAAAUUGCGGGGCUCAACCCCGUCGAGCCGUUGAAACUGGCAGACUUGAGUUGGCGAGAAGUACGCGGAAUGCGCGGUGUAGCGGUGAAAUGCAUAGAUAUCGCGCAGAACUCCGAUUGCGAAGGCAGCGUACCGGCGCCAGACUGACGCUGAGGCACGAAAGCGUGGGGAUCGAACAGGAUUAGAUACCCUGGUAGUCCACGCAGUAAACGAUGAAUGCUGGUUGUCCGGGUCGAAUGAGACCUGGGCGGCGAAGCGAAAGCGAUAAGCAUUCCACCUGGGGAGUACGCCGGCAACGGUGAAACUCAAAGGAAUUGACGGGGGCCCGCACAAGCGGAGGAACAUGUGGUUUAAUUCGAUGAUACGCGAGGAACCUUACCCGGGCUCAAACGGGAGUGGAAUGGACCAGAGACGGUUCAGCCUACGGGCCGCUUCCGAGGUGCUGCAUGGUUGUCGUCAGCUCGUGCCGUGAGGUGUCGGCUUAAGUGCCAUAACGAGCGCAACCCCCGCCGGCAGUUGCUAACGGGCAAUGCCGAGGACUCUGCCGGGACUGCCGCCGCAAGGCGUGAGGAAGGCGGGGAUGACGUCAAAUCAGCACGGCCCUUACGUCCGGGGCGACACACGUGUUACAAUGGGCGGUACAGCGGGAAGCCAGGCGGCGACGCCGAGCGGAACCCGAAAGCCGUUCUCAGUUCGGAUCGGAGUCUGCAACCCGACUCCGUGAAGCUGGAUUCGCUAGUGAUCGCGCAUCAGCCAUGGCGCGGUGAAUACGUUCCCGGGCCUUGUACACACCGCCCGUCAAGCCAUGGGAGCCGGGGGUGCUUGAGUGCGUCGCCGCGAGGCGCGCCCUAGAGCAAAACCGGUGACUGGGGCUAAGUCGUAACAAGGUAACCGU
rnacentral:rRNA from 1 species